GCCACCUUAGCUCAGCUGGUAGAGCAGCACUUUCGUAAAGUGAAGGUCCCCGGUUCGAAUCCGGGAGGUGGCUCAA
rnacentral:tRNA from 1 species